CGGGGAGGAAGGGAGUAAAGUUAAUACCUUUGCUCAUUGACGUUACCCGCAGAAGAAGCACCGGCUAACUCCGUGCCAGCAGCCGCGGUAAUACGGAGGGUGCAAGCGUUAAUCGGAAUUACUGGGCGUAAAGCGCACGCAGGCGGUUUGUUAAGUCAGAUGUGAAAUCCCCGGGCUCAACCUGGGAACUGCAUCUGAUACUGGCAAGCUUGAGUCUCGUAGAGGGGGGUAGAAUUCCAGGUGUAGCGGUGAAAUGCGUAGAGAUCUGGAGGAAUACCGGUGGCGAAGGCGGCCCCCUGGACGAAGACUGACGCUCAGGUGCGAAAGCGUGGGGAGCAAACAGGAUU
rnacentral:rRNA from 1 species